rnacentral:rRNA from 1 species
AUUGAACGCUGGCGGCAUGCCUUACACAUGCAAGUCGAACGGUAACGGGCCUUCGGGUGCCGACGAGUGGCGAACGGGUGAGUAAUGUAUCGGAACGUACCUUUCAGUGGGGGAUAACGUAGCGAAAGUUACGCUAAUACCGCAUAUUCUGUGAGCAGGAAAGCAGGGGAUCGCAAGACCUUGCGCUGAUUGAGCGGCCGAUAUCAGAUUAGCUAGUUGGUGAGGUAAAGGCUCACCAAGGCGACGAUCUGUAGCGGGUCUGAGAGGAUGAUCCGCCACACUGGAACUGAGACACGGUCCAGACUCCUACGGGAGGCAGCAGUGGGGAAUUUUGGACAAUGGGGGCAACCCUGAUACAGCCAUGCCGCGUGAGUGAAGAAGGCCUUCGGGUUGUAAAGCUCUUUCGGCCGGGAAGAAAUCGCACAGGCUAAUACCUUGUGUGGAUGACGGUACCGGAAUAAGAAGCACCGGCUAACUACGUGCCAGCCGCCGCAGUAAUAC